AUAGUUACCUGCAGGGGACAUCUAUGAUCACGAAAGUGUUUCUCCCAGGGCGAGGCUUAUCCAUUGCACUCUGGAUGCACUUACCCCUGCGAUUUCCCCAAUGUAGGAAACUUGACUGCAUAAUUUGUGGUUGAGGGGGACUUCAUUCACACUUUUCCCUU